UGGGGAAUUUUCCGCAAUGGGCGAAAGCCUGACGGAGCAACGCCGCGUGAGGGAUGAAGGCCUCUGGGCUGUAAACCUCUUUUCUCAAGGAGGAAUAUCUGACGUUACUUAGGAGACGAAGCAUCGGCUAACUCCGUGCCAGCAGCCGCGGUAAGACGGAGGAUGCAAGUGUUAUCCGGAAUCACUGGGCGUAAAGCGUCUGUAGGUGGUUUGAUAAGUCAACUGUUAAAUCUUGAGGCUCAACCUCAAAACCGCAGUCGAAACUAUUAGACUAGAGUAUAGUAGGGGUAAAGGGAAUUUCCAGUGGAGCGGUGAAAUGCGUAGAGAUUGGAAAGAACACCGAUGGCGAAGGCACUUUACUGGGCUAUUACUAACACUCAGAGACGAAAGCUAGGGUAGCAAAUG
rnacentral:rRNA from 1 species